AGCGCCGUGCGCCCGCGCCCCGCGCACGCUGAUGCACGUUGCACCGCGUUGCACCCGCCGCGCAGCCGCCUUCGCGCAUCGUCGUGACCCAGCACCAUGCUGGAUGCAACUCACUGGUUCUUUCCCUAUAUGCUAAAACAACACUGCUCGUGUCGAAUGAGUUUGCACAGCAUGGUGACAGUGAUGUUUGCAACUAUGCAAUUAACCCCCAACAAUCACUACUGCACGCUGAUGAACUAUUACAGCAUUGUUUACGUCUCGUUCGCCUGUGCCUGUGCCCGCGCUACGCGCAUACACAAAUCUGCUUCGAAAGCCAACAUCAUCUAAAGACUUUGCGGUGACGAAACACUCCAGUGUCAACUUUCUUCCUCACUCUUUGCUAAAAGGACCCGAUCUUCGUUAACUGAAAUGAUGUGUUUGGCGACCAAUAAUCUGUAUUACUCGAUGGCGAACAAUUAGCGGAGGAAAGGCGCAUUGCCGCGACCUGAGUCAGCAAUAUUCUGCAUGAUGUCAUGUAGAGCGCUAACGGGCGCGUCCCAGCGUCACAUCCCAUUCCUGCAUACCUCACCCAAUCUAGUGAUGACAAAUCCACUCAUACUGGCGAUACAGAGACAAUGUUUUAAAUUCUUGUGAUUCCAAUAUUGAGUGGUCCCAUUUGGUUCAAAAGUAAUAGUGUUAGUAUACUUCGUGAAACUAACUUUAAAUAACGUGAUAGAAAUCAAACGAUAUAAAUACUAAUGCACAAUCUGAGUAGGCAAGAUCUUGAAACCAAUGUUCCCCAUUACAAAAAUGUGUAUAUUUGCACAUUAUUCGCCCUGUAAUUUUAGUAUGCUAUUUCAUUUACAAAGAAAUAAACUCAGAAGUAACAAGAAUGAAGAUCAAGAACGAAGACACCAAGUGUUUCCGAUAGAAGUUACAAGAAAUCAAGUAAAUCAAGCAAAAGGAAUUACGAAACUGGUUUUCAUAAUGAUUUGACAGAUUGUUCCCUAUUCUGAGAUCAUUGUGAAAGCUGAUUUUGUUCCUAUAUCAACAGAAAAUCGCACCAUCAUGCUGCGUCAGCGCUUUCUGAGGAAUUCGUCAACUAAGGAAUGCCACUGACGUGAAUUGGUUCUGCGGAGAAAAGAAUUUUUGACUAA